rnacentral:rRNA from 1 species
CAUGGUUGUCGUCAGCUCGUGCCGUGAGGUGUCGGGUUAAGUCCCAUAACGAGCGCAACCCCUACCUUAGUUGCCAUCAGGUUAAGCUGGGGACUCUAAAGGAACUGCCUACGCAAGUAGUGAGGAAGGCGGGGAGUGACGUCAAAUCAGCACGGCCCUUACGUCCAGGGCUACACACGUGCUACAAUGGCUGAUACAGAGGGCAGCUACCUGGUGACAGGAUGCAAAUCUCCAAAGUCGGUCUCAGUUCGGAUCGGAGUCUGCAACCCGACUCCGUGAAGUUGGAUUCGCUAGUAAUCGCGCAUCAGCCAUGGCGCGGUGAAUACGUUCCCGGGCCUU